GACGAACGCUGGCGGCGUGCUUAACACAUGCAAGUCGAACGGAAAGGCCCUGCUCUUGUUGCGUGCUCGAUUGGCGAACGGGUGAGUAUCACGUGAGUAACCUGCCCUUGACUUUGGGAUGACUUCAGGAAACUGGGGCUAAUACCGGGUAUGAUCUCCUGCUGCAUGUUGGGGGUUGGAAAGUUUCGGCGGUUGUGGCUGGACUCGCUGCUUAUCAGCUUGUUUGUGGGGUAGUUGCUUACCAAGGCUUUGACGGGUAGCCGGCCUGAGAGGGUGACCGGCGACAUUGGGACUGAGGUACGGACCAGAAUGCUACGGGAGGCAGCAGUGGGGAAUAUGGCAGAAUGGGGGGAAGCCUGAUGCAGCAACGCCGCGUGCGGGAUGACGGCCUUCGGGUUGUAAACCGAUUUCGAAUGUGACGAAGAGUGCGUGACGGUAAUGGGUAAAGAAGCAACGGCUAACUACGUG
rnacentral:rRNA from 1 species